UAACAAGGUUUCCGUAGGUGAACCUGCGGAAGGAUCAUUAA
rnacentral:rRNA from 2 species